GUUUUAACCGUUGGUUUGCUGAGAAAUUCUUGAAGGAAGAUCGAAGCGGUGAUCCCUGUACCGAAAUGUUCAAGAAAUAUCAGCAUUGUGUCCAGGUAACCAAAACAGCCAUGAUGCAAGACCAUUGUGUCAGCUGUCAUGAUAUUAGGCCCCAGAAGAAGUAUAUUAUUCAAAGGACUGGAGCACAGACGCAAGGGGACAUUUAGCUACUUUGUUAUAAAACAUAAUUGACUUAAGGACAUCUAUGUAUUGGAAAUAAAUAUCCUCAAUUCAUGAUAUAGGCUUAUUGUCUUCUCAGAAUCCAUUAUUAUUUAGUAUUUUUAAAUGUUGGAUGCAAGUGUCUAAUCUAAUGAUACAACUACAUAUGUUGUGCUUGUAUUUGCAGAAGGCCAUCAAAGAAAAGAACAUUCCCAUUGAUGGUGUAGAAUUCAUGGGCCCCAAUAAAGAGAAACCAGACAGCUGACAGAUAUGAUGGAGGAGCUCCCCAACAACUUUGUGCUCUGUCACACUUGCAUUGCUCACUGGGCUUGCCAUGGACAGGGUUUCCACCCUUUUAUCUUGGAUUGGGUUUUGUUUAAGGUCGCUGUCCUAAUGUGGAGACUAAUGAGCAUUCAUAUGAAGGAUCCAACAUGCUAAAUUACACGACGAUGGGUAUUGUAAUUUGCAUGUUGGGCAUGGAUUACAAGUGGAAGCUAUGAAUCCAGUCAUUUGGGUCAGGCCAAUAAAUAUCCAUGGUCACAAGAUGCAUGUAAAGUGGUCACCUCAGAUACUCAUUCAUUGUAAAGGACUAUGAUGCUUUGCAAAGGGAGUUUCAUUUUUUUCAGUUAUAAAAUUGUUGACGUCUACUGUAAGAGUGCCCUGGCUUAAUGUCCCUCAAGACAACUGAAGAAGGCAUUAAUGUGGAAGCAUUGGGCUAGAAGAGAAAGCUCAAACAUCAUACAAGGACAUUUAUUUGGUUUACACUGUAGAAGAGCAGAUGUUUUGUCUCUCACUCUUAGCUCCAUUGCACUUCAGUUUUCAGUGUUUUUUUUCUCUGUAUGAUGCAAUGUAAUGCUGUGAUUGACAUGUACAUUGACAAAGCAAUAAAUAGGAGAAUCAUGUUCCAUUA